rnacentral:rRNA from 1 species
UACGGAGGGGGCUAGCGUUGUUCGGAAUUACUGGGCGUAAAGCGCACGUAGGCGGCUUUGUAAGUUAGAGGUGAAAGCCCAGGGCUUAACCCUGGAAUUGCCUUUAAGACUGCAUCGCUAGAAUCGUGGAGAGGUGAGUGGAAUUCCGAGUGUAGAGGUGAAAUUCGUAGAUAUCAGGAGGAACACCUGCGGUGUAGACGGCUUACUGGACCAUAACUGACGCUGAGGCACGAAAGCGUGGGUAGCAAACAGG